UCAGAAAGCCGGAUGGCCGCUCUGCCUCGUGAGUAUUUCGUCAGGCGGAGAGGAAAGUCCGGGCUCCAUGGAAAGCACGGUGCCGGAUAACCUCCGGCGGGGGCGACCCCAGGGAAAGUGCCACAGAAAGCAAACCGCCCUGCGAAGCCGUCGUCAGACGGAGAAGCAGGGUAAGGGUGAAAGGGUGCGGUAAGAGCGCACCGCGCGCGCCGGCAACGGCCGCGGCACGGUAAACCCCACCGGGAGCAAGACCAAAUAGGGGCGGCGUGAAGAGCUCUGGCUCGUCAGGUCCGCUUCCAGACCAGCCGCCCGGGUUGGUUGCUCGAGGCGUGCGGCAACGUACGUCCCAGAUGAAUGGCCAUCGCCGCGAAAGCGGUACAGAACCCGGCUUACAGGCUUCCUGACAUG
rnacentral:RNase_P_RNA from 1 species